AUUGAACGCUGGCGGCAGGCCUAACACAUGCAAGUCGAACGCGUGGCGGACGGGUGAGUAAUGUCGGGGAACCUGCCUGAUGGAGGGGGAUAACUACUGGAAACGGUAGCUAAUACCGCAUACCAUCGGAUGUGCCCAGAUGGGAUUAGCUAGUAGGUGGGGUAACGGCUCACCAAGUCGACGAUCCCUAGCUGGUCUGAGAGGAUGACCAGCAACACUGGAACUGAGACACGGUCCAGACUCCUACGGGAGGCAGCAGUGGGGAAUAUUGCACAAUGGGCGAAAGCCUGAUGCAGCAAUGCCGCGUGUAUGAAGAAGGUCUUCGGGUUGUAAAGUACUGUCAGCGGGGAGGCGUUACCCGCAGAAGAAGCCCCGGCUAACUACGUGCCAGCAGCCGCGGUAAUAC
rnacentral:rRNA from 1 species